rnacentral:rRNA from 1 species
UACAGAGGGUGCAAGCGUUGUUCGGAAUUAUUGGGCGUAAAGCGCGUGUAGGCGGCUUUGCAAGUCGGGUGUGAAAGCCCUCAGCUCAACUGAGGAAGUGCGCCCGAAACUGCAUUGCUUGAAUACCGGAGAGGGUAGCGGAAUUCCCCAAGUAGAGGUGAAAUUCGUAGAUAUGGGGAGGAACACCGGUGGCGAAGGCGGCUACCUGGACGGCUAUUGACGCUGAGACGCGAAAGCGUGGGGAGCAAACAGG